AAUUAAGUCUGACAAAUUCUUUUAUAGACUAAACAAAUUUUACGGCAGAAUCAACAAACCGUAGAAAAGAAAAAAAAUCAAAAGCACAGCGCCUUACAAUAAUACGAAGAACAAGAUUCUGCUGAUAAACAUCGAGUGCAAAAGUAGAUAAAACGGUGAACAGGUUCCCAGAAUACUAGUUACGGGCAUUGUAUGGCGUGCGGUGUGCAACAGGGAGAGGGGCACACAAUCAGCGAUGCAUUUGACGAACACCGAGAACAUCAUGCUUAUAGCUGGGUCUGGAUUAGAGAAAAACCGUUUUAUAAAGAGAAAUAUCAGUAAUGCAGGAAGACCAAAAGUGUUUCGUCCACCGAAACAGGACGUGCUGGACUUUGACAGAUUACUUGGACGGAAACGCACGAGCAGAAAAUUUAUACCAUUGGGAGGAAAAUCUAAGCACUUAGGAAAAAGUCAAGAUGACUUGAAGACGUUAAAUAUUCUUCCAAAAUUACAAACAUUAGAUCUAACAGACGAAGCUGGUGACGUAAACGAGAGAAUAGUCAACAAUUAUGUGAAAACUUGCAGAGGACAAACCGACUCUUGCGGAAAGUUCAUUAAAAACAUGACACAGGGAAAGGAAUACACAACGAGUAUUCUGGACGGCCACAAAAUGACAUUACGCCAGUUGAGGGAGAUCUGGAACGAGGUGCCUUCAUUUCUUAGUGUCCGUGCAGCGGAACUCAAGUCUAAGUACGGAAUACUCACUGAGGGGGGGAGGGAGGGGGAAGACAUUGAUGAAGUUUCUAUAGAGAUUGUCAAGAAAUGUAACGAUCCAGGGGUGGUACUCCCCGUUAUCAGGGGAGGGGAGGGUGAUGGGCUGUGGACAGUUAGGGAGUGAAGAUAGGGUCCAAUGUCAGUACAUCCCUAUUCACUCCCCUCCCCCCCCCCCCCCCCCCCCCCCCGUGAUGACCAGCUUAAGCCUAGUUUUCACUAGUGACGCCAGCACAGGCCCCAGGGUUUGUUUCCAGUGAAUAAGAGAAUGAGCUUUCUCUAUAAACUUCUCCUCAAAUCUGGUCGCAAACUUUGUUUGAGGUUUGAGGUCGGAAUGUGAUUGGUUUCUCUUCGCACAACCAAGUGCAAGUGCAAGGAAAAAAAGCAAUUUUGAUAUCUUGCGUUUGCGUCAGUACAGAACCGUGGAUGUCAGAGGCUACUCGUUUCCAGGCUCCAAAAAAUACGCCAACCCCGCCCGCCCUCCCGUCGGUAUUCUUCCAUUGAGCUUUCGGGUCCUUGCAGGUUCUAGGCGACGACACAAGCAUCUCUUGUGGCCAGGAAGCAUUAGUAAGGCAUUCUUCAAGAAUUUAUUGCCCUUGAUGCCCUAUGCGCUUUUUGUAAGAAAACCAUAAAAAUUUGUGCUGUUUAAACAUUCGAAACAUCAUUGAAAUCGGUGUGCUGGUUUUCAAUGUCGUGGCUGCUUUUUAAUAAACGUCCGUCUGCAAAAUUGCGGUCCACCACAUGCCUUGCCUUGAAGGAUGUUCUCCCAUAAAUGAAUCACUCAUCUUCUGUUGGUAUCAGUGUAAUUAUCAGAGAUAAUUACUUCGUCUGACAAGUGAAUCUAAAGGCCAUCUAACAAUACACAAUUUAGUACACCACAUCUUCACAAAAAGGAACAAGCACAGGAUAAUACACACUGAAUCGAAAGACGUGCAGAAACAAGGAUAUAAAAAAGUGAAUUUUGAAAUAUACGCUUAAGUGCCCGCGAUACAAGAUGCCAGUGGUUGAACUGUGGGAGCGCGUGUCAUUCAUCUUCGUGUUUGUGAUAGCGGGGAUCAUCUGCGCAACCGUAGGCGCCUUAGUGAUGUGCGUUCUGCUGCCUCGUGAGAGAGUGCGGAGGUGCUUGGGCCGGUGCUUCUACGGUGAAUGGCAGAUGGAGGCCUGGUAUCUAAGAAAGCUUAGCGAGAGGCGGAAAAUUGAGCCCGGGGAGCUACCUCAGCGGAAUCGAUAUUUUCAAGGAGAAUUAGAGCUAUAAAAACGUGUAGAUAUAUAGAACGCUAUCUUGGAUGUUCACCUAAUGUUAUGGCCAAAUUCGUUGUUGCGCGAUCUCCCAGAAUCCAAAAUUCCUUUCUUCGUUUGGGAAUAACGCGUAGUGAAUCAAACCAAACAAUCAAAACCAGACAAACCGCCCCCAACAAAUCUGACUACGCGCUAUUCCCAAACGAGAAAUGUAUUUUGGAUUUAUCGAGGUCGCGCAACAACGAACUUGGCUGUAAAUUGCCGGUUGCAGUGUUCUUUUCCGAAUUGGAAAAUAGUUUAUUAAGAUAGUUAUAUUGUUAUUUUGGUUGUUUAGUGGCUCACGCCAUCGUCUGCUUAUCCUGACCGCUUAUGGAGUUUCCAGUGGGCUAAACUAAGGUCGGAAUAUUUGAUUAUUUAAAUGAACGAGUUCGACGAAAGAGGGGAUAUAAAAACUAUUUGAGGAUUCUUCUCUCCUGUAAAGGCGAGUGGUCGAGUAAGUCGAAAACCACGGGGAAACCAUGCGGCCUCCUUAAACAGUUACAGUCCGUACAUCCGACAUGCGUCACAAUGUUUUUUGUUUUUGUUUUUAAUAUUCAAUGCAUUUUUUUCGAAAUCUAACUUUCCCUGUACAAUUUGAUACUUUAAAAAUAUAAUUGAGCCGUUUUAGUUGUAGAAUGGAUAGAAAUUCAACGUGAUUCAAUUCAUUUCAUUUUUCAUAGGGUGUCAUCGCGUCACACAGGUCGGAUCGACGGGCUUUAAAUGAAUGUCAUGUGGCUUCAAGUUUUUACUAAAUCAUGAUUUCGCGGGAGUCUAUGACUUUUUUCUCGUAAUAUUGGAAUCCUUGUCUUUUCUGUAGCAAGUCUGGAAUAUUUUGCGCCGUCUGGCUGUUUAACUCACAUACGUAGAAACGCUUACUGUAGUUGAAUGAAAAGCAAUGCGCGCGCAGAAGGCAGUACACAAAGCAUUGUGUCUUGUCCGUGACGUCACUGAACUUCUUGAUCACGUGACCUAACAGGGCCGUGUCGCGUGGCGCAUGUGGGGUGUAGACUAUGGGCCGCUCGUCUGAAAAAUGAUAAUCAAGAAAAAUAUAAAAUACAUGUCCUUUUUUAAAAUAUACUCGACAUGGCAAA